AGGGUUUGAUUCUGGCUCAGGAUGAACGCUGGCGGCAUGCCUAAUACAUGCAAGUCGAACGAGCUACUUCGGUAGCUAGUGGCGAACGGGUGAGUAACACGUAGAUAACCUGCCCAUACCCGGGGGAUACGCUUUGGAAACGAAGUCUAAAACCCCAUAGGAAGAUUUAAGGCAUCUUAAAUUUUUGAAAUAAGCUUUGGCUUAGGGGAUGGAUGGAUCUGCGGUGCAUUAGCUAGUUGGUGAGGUAACAGCUCACCAAGGCGAUGAUGCAUAGCCGGCCUGAGAGGGCGAUCGGCCACACUGGGACUGAGACACGGCCCAG
rnacentral:rRNA from 1 species